GUGUCUCUGUCACUUAAUGUGCAAUCUGUUGCCUGUCUGUUUUGAAAUGGGGGCUCCUUUUAAUGAGUUAAUUCUGCAGGCGGCAGGCUUAGGAGGAGCCCAUGUGUGAGUGCAGAUUUCAACAUAUCUCUGUGUGCGCCCCGACUGUGUGCAUGCGUUUCUGACACCUCGGCCUGCAGAAUUAACCCGUUAAAGGAGCCCCGGGGAGCAGGCCGUGCAUCGUCUUGACGAGUGUCCUCCCGCUCACACCUGCCAGCCGCUCCGUCUGCCUGUCUCUGCCCCGUGGAGAGCGGCUCUUUGAUGCCUGGCGCAGGCAGAGCUGGUGUCUGCAGAGCUUGGCGCUGGAGGAGCCGCCUGCUGCCUGCCUGCCCUUCCGGUCACCCGCGCUGGGAGGCUGCUUCUCAUCCCGAGCCCUGCCGUCCACUACGCUGUGGCCUGGUGCGUCCCCUGCAGGGCAGCACCUGCUACUCCCCGCACGGCGCGUACGCCCAGAGCAAGCUGGCCCUGGUCCUUUUCUCGUACCAUCUCCAGAGGCUGCUGGACACCGAGGGCAGCCACGUGACCGCCAACGUGGUGGACCCCGGGGUGGUGGACACCAACCUCUACCAGCACGUGUUCUGGGGCACCCGGCUGGUGCAGCGGCUCCUGGGCUGGCUCAUCUUCAAGGACUUGCUGAGGUUCCGGAUGUUGCUGGUUCUUUUAUCAAUACAUUCCCUGGACGUGAUGACAGAACGGUUUGAAAGUCACUCAUCAAACGAGCUCCCGCACCGUGCCCCCCGCUUCCGUGUCCCCCAGGAGCCGUCCUCCGUCCCUGGCGGGGUCUGAGUGUCUGUCGGCUUCUCGUCCUGUUUCCGUCUCUCGUGGACGCAUCUCUGCCCUCUUGGCUGUCCUUUCCGUCCUGGUGGUUGAUGCUUUAGCCUGGCACCCACUUGGCAAGCGCACGGCUGGUUACAGCAUCCCCGGGACACUUUGGAGGGAAAUUGGUUGCCCGACAGGAGCGGCCCCCUCGGUGUGCUCGGCUCCUGGGCCCCGCGUGCUCAGGGCUUCCCUCCUUCACACCUAUGCGUACCAUUUCAUGCACGCCAUAACUGAUCACCGACCGCAUUGCAUAGUUCUCCUGCUUUAAAUACCUGAAGCAUCACGCUUCAGUUUUGUUGCAAAAAAAUAUACUGACAGAGCUAUGCUGCAGACUGGCCGCCUGCGUUUAUAAAUACAGUUUUACUGGCAGGGACUGGCUGCCUGUGUCUAUACAGAAAGUUUUAUUGGUAUGGGCUGGCCUCCUGAUUUUAUAAAUAAAGUUUUAUUGACACAGACUGUUCACUUGCAUUUAUAGAUAAAGUUUUUUGGGACAGUCUGGCUAUCUGCAUUUAUGAAUAAAGCUUUACUGACACAGAUAGUUUGCCUGCAUUUGUAAAUAAAGUUUUAUUAGCACAGACUGGCUGCCUGUGUCUUUACAGAAAGUUUUAUUGGUAUGGGCUGGCCUCCUGAUUUUAUAAAUAAAGUUUUAUUGACAGAGUGUUCGCUUGCAUUUAUAAAUAAAGUUUAUUGGCAUAGUGUGGCUAUCUGCAUUUAUGAAUAAAGCUUUAUUGACACAGAUAGUUUGCCUGCAUUUGUAAAUAUUUAUUGGCACAGACUGGCUGCCUGUGUCUAUACAGAAAGUUUUAUUGGUAUGGGCUGGCCUCCUGAUUUUAUAAAUAAAGUUUUAUUGACAUAGACUGCUUGUCUGCAUUUAUAGAUAAAGUUUUUUGGCACAGUCUGGCUAUCUGCAUUUAUGAAUAAAGCUUUAUUGACACAGAUGGUUUGCCUGCAUUUGUAAAUAAAGCUUUAUUGGCACGCAGUGGCCACCUGCAUAAGUCAAUGGCACAGCCUGGCAGCCUGCAUUUACAAAUAAAGUUUUAUUGGCAGUGCCUGGCUGCCUGCAUUUAUAAAUAAAGUUUUAUUGGCAAAGCCUGGCCCCCUGCAUUUAUGAGUAAAGUUUUAUUGGUAUAGACUGUCUGCAUUUAUAGUUUACUAACAAGGACUGGCUACUGUGUUUUUUUUGAUUGGGGGGGGUUUCGAUUUCUUUUUUUUUUUUUUUUUUUUUUUUUUUUUUUUUGUACUACGGAUUAAUUGCGCGACCUCACGUUUGUCAGGCAGGUGCGUAUGGCACUGAGGUAAAUCCCCGGCCCUUGCAUUUGUAAAUAAAGUUUCGUUGGCACAGACUGGCCACCUGCAUUUAUAAACAGUUUAUUGACAUCGCCUGGCCUCCUGCAUCAGUGAUAAAGAUUUAGGGGCAGGGAGCGGCCACCCUGUUGGUGGCUGACGUGUUACCAGCCCGCAGCCGCCGCUGCCUGCCCCUGGCCCCGUCAGUGCCCUCGGCCUGUCCGGGUUCCCUGGCCUGGGCGGCAGGAAUCCAUUUCCUCGUCUUCCUCGAGAGCCCCUGCGGGGAGCAAAGUGUGGAGGAUUUGUUUAAAAAAAAAAGAUCAGCAGCCCUUUGCCUCUGUCUGGUGCGACCAUCUGCGCCCGGUGCUCAAGUUAUACAGCAAGGUUUCUGCUUUGAAAAGUGGAACGUUGGGCCGGGGACGUAGCUCAGCGACACAGACGCCUGCCAGGCAAGCUGAGGUCCUGAGUUCGAGUCCUGUACCAGAAAAAAGAAAAUCAGCAUCCUUCGCCUCUAAACUCUGGCCAGGUCAGGGAGUUGCUGGAGAGUGUUUCCGAGCCAGUGUUUGAAGUUUCUGUCCUGCUCAACGGGGGUUCGGAUUUUCCUCUGAGCUAAUGACCCGUCUGUCCCCUGACCUCGCGGGGUGAACGCGCUGCUGACCCCGCUCCAGCGGCCCCUUUGUGUCCAGGUCACUCUGCUUAGCACCCGCCUGUGCCUGUCUGAAUUCUUCAGCAAAAAGAAAGCCUCCAGAUUCCUUCCUUCACCCCCAAACACGGUCCCCUGUCCCCACAAAACCCCCAGUCUCCCCAGUCCCUCUGGUGCUAAACUCACGUCCCUGCUGGGAUCCUGACAAUGGCUUG
ensembl:lincRNA